rnacentral:rRNA from 1 species
UACGAAGGGGGCUAGCGUUGUUCGGAAUUACUGGGCGUAAAGCGUGCGCAGGCGGCUUCUCAAGUCAGGGGUGAAAGCCCAGAGCUCAACUCUGGAAUUGCCUUUGAGACUGAGUGGCUUGAGUACGAGAGAGGUGAGUGGAAUUCCCAGUGUAGAGGUGAAAUUCGUAGAUAUUCGGAAGAACACCAGUGGCGAAGGCGACUGACUGGACAAGUAUUGACGCUGAGGUGGCGAAAAGCGUGGGGAGCAAACAGGG